rnacentral:lncRNA from 1 species
AGAUCAUUUCCUCGACUGCGUCAGGUAUUCUGAUGAGCCCAUCCAAGGAUGCCCCCUUCUGCUCAGCAUCUAAAACAAGGGUGUCCCGGAUGCCCUUCUCUCCUCUGUCUACAUCCAUGCCUGGGCAACCUCACCUGACCUCACAGCUUCACGCCACCUGUGCCAGACGCUCCCAGCCCUGCACCCAGCCCUGGCCUCGCCUGACAGACUCUGUCAACCCGACAGCUCCAAGCAGAUGUUCUAAUGAGAGUCUCAGCACCAUGGACAAGAGGUGCUGUCCUGACCCACCCAGGCCUUCCCCUCCCCGUCCCAGGCAUAGAGCUACCAUCCACCCAGGUGCUCGAGACAGAAAGAAAGUGUUGUCCAUGUGUAGUUGAAACUGCGCUUGACGGGCUUGUUCAUGUCGCUCCCUCUUCUCAGGGGACCCUUUCAGCCCCUGCCCACCCUUGUCUCCUGGAAAAUUCCUAUUUAUCCUUUAAGAAUCAGCUCCGGAUCCGCACCUCCAGGCAGAGCUGCUCACAUAAUCUUCCAGGCCCAGCACAAUGUGAAACCGUGGGCAGGGAGUCCACCACCACCCCAACCUGUGACAGGUCGGCCUGAGCCCCCAUCACCACCACCCCAACCUGCAACAGCUCUGCCUGAGCCUCCAUCACCACCACCCCAACCUGUAACAGCUAUACCUGAACCCCCAUCACCACCACCCCAACCUGCAACAGGUCGGCCUGAGCCCCCAUCACCACCACCCCAACCUGUAACAGCUCUGCCUGAGCCCCCAUCACCACCACCCCAACCUGUAACAGCUCGGCCUGAGCCCCCAUCACCACCACCCUAACCUCUAACAGCUCGGCCUGAACCCCCAUCACCACCACCCCAACCUGCAACAGGUCGGCCUGAGCUCCCAUCACCACCACUGCCUCCAGCCUUCCUGUGUGCUCGCCGUCAUCCCGGUUCUGGUAAGAGAAACAUCACUGUACAGACAUCAUUUCUACUCUGUAAGGCUGCAUAUUCGUCAUGUCAUUCCUGCUUUCGCUUUAUGUCAGUGUUGUUUCAGGUUUUGUGUGUUAUUUGGUAUGAUUUGGCAGGUUAUUUCUGGG